rnacentral:rRNA from 1 species
AGAGUUUUGAUCAUGGCUCAGGAUGAAUGCUGGCGGCGUGCCUAAUACAUGCAAGUCGAGCGGUAAGGCCCUUCGGGGUACACGAGCGGCGGACGGCUGAGUAACGCGUGGGAACAUGCCCCAAAGUGAGGGAUAACGCACCGAAAGGUGUGCUAAUACCGCAUAUGGUCUUCGGAUUAAAGGAUUUUAUCCGCUUUGGGAGUGGCCCGCGUACGAUUAGAUUGUUGGUGAGGUAACGGCUCACCAAGUCGACGAUCGUUAACUGGUCUGAGAGGAUGAUCAGUCAGACUGGAACUGAGACACGGUCCAGACUCCUACGGGAGGCAGCAGUAAGGAAUCUUCCACAAUGGGCGAAAGCCUGAUGGAGCAACGCCGCGUGCAGGAUGAAGGCCCUCGGGUCGUAAACUGCUUUUAUGAGUGAAGAAUAUGACGGUAACUCAUGAAUAAGCACCGGCUAACUACGUG